rnacentral:rRNA from 1 species
GCGCACGGGUGCGGAACACGUGUGCAACCUGCCUUUAUCUGGGGGAUAGCCUUUCGAAAGGAAGAUUAAUACCCCAUAAUAUAUUGAGUGGCAUCACUUGAUAUUGAAAACUCCGGUGGAUAGAGAUGGGCACGCGCAAGAUUAGAUAGUUGGUGAGGUAACGGCUCACCAAGUCAAUGAUCUUUAGGGGGCCUGAGAGGGUGAUCCCCCACACUGGUACUGAGACACGGACCAGACUCCUACGGGAGGCAGCAGUGAGGAAUAUUGGACAAUGGGUGAGAGCCUGAUCCAGCCAUCCCGCGUGAAGGACGACUGCCCUAUGGGUUGUAAACUUCUUUUAUACUGGGAUAAACCUACCCUUCGUGAGGGUAGCUGAAGGUACAGUAUGAAUAAGCACCGGCUAACUCCGUGCCAGCAGCCGCGGUAAUACGGAGGGUGCAAGCGUUAUCCGGAUUUAUUGGGUUUAAAGGGUCCGUAGGCGGACUCGUAAGUCAGUGGUGAAAUCUCAUAGCUUAACUAUGAAACUGCCAUUGAUACUGCGGGUCUUGAGUAAAGUAGAAGUGGCUGGAAUAAGUAGUGUAGCGGUGAAAUGCAUAGAUAUUACUUAGAACACCAAUUGCGAAGGCAGGUCACUAUGUUUUAACUGACGCUGAUGGACGAAAGCGUGGGGAGCGAACAGGAUUAGAUACCCUGGUAGUCCACGCCGUAAACGAUGCUAACUCGUUUUUGGGUUUUCGGAUUCAGAGACUAAGCGAAAGUGAUAAGUUAGCCACCUGGGGAGUACGUUCGCAAGAAUGAAACUCAAAGGAAUUGACGGGGGCCCGCACAAGCGGUGGAUUAUGUGGUUUAAUUCGAUGAUACGCGAGGAACCUUACCAAGGCUUAAAUGGGAAUUGACAGGUUUAGAAAUAGAUCCUUCUUCGGACAAUUUUCAAGGUGCUGCAUGGUUGUCGUCAGCUCGUGCCGUGAGGUGUUAGGUUAAGUCCUGCAACGAGCGCAACCCCUGUCACUAGUUGCCAUCAUUCAGUUGGGGACUCUAGUGAGACUGCCUACGCAAGUAGAGAGGAAGGUGGGGAUGACGUCAAAUCAUCACGGCCCUUACGCCUUGGGCCACACACGUAAUACAAUGGCCGGUACAGAGGGCAGCUACUAUGCGAAUAGAUGCGAAUCUCGAAAGCCGGUCUCAGUUCGGAUUGGAGUCU